UACGUAGGGUGCGAGCGUUGUCCGGAAUUAUUGGGCGUAAAGAGCUCGUAGGCGGUCUGUCGCGUCGGUCGUGAAAACCUGCAGCUUAACUGUGGGCGUGCGGUCGAUACGGGCAUGACUGGAGUUCGGCAGGGGAGACUGGAAUUCCUGGUGUAGCGGUGAAAUGCGCAGAUAUCAGGAGGAACACCGGUGGCGAAGGCGGGUCUCUGGGCCGAUACUGACGCUGAGGAGCGAAAGCGUGGGGGAGCGAACAGG
rnacentral:rRNA from 1 species